AUGGAACAAGGGGUACCAGAAGGUGGAGAACCAAAGAAUGUUGCUGCUGUUGUUGCUGACAUUCUCACUAAAGAAUGUCCCUCCAGCACAUUCCUUCAAAAUGUUGGCCUUGAGUCGAGCUCCAAGAAGAAGUUCAACAGAUCUGCAACUGCUUUGGAUGCUCAUGUACAAGAACUAGAGUACAAGCUUGAGAAGGAGAGGUGA
rnacentral:rRNA from 1 species